UUUGUGGGACACGUACAGCUCUUUGGCUGCCACAGGCAUUUUUCCCCUUACUGAGAUUUGCUUUGGACAGGCCACUUCUCAUUAUGACUAAAUGAACUGUGGUCACCACGAAUAGGCCCUGGCCUCUCCGGUUAUCCUCUAGGCAACAAGCCUCCAGUGUGACAAGGCUCUUUUUCUCUUCCACAGGAGAAGUUGCUGUUAAUCCACCCAAGACACACAGACACCGGUGUCUACUGUGAGUUUGUUUCUGAUUGUCGCUGAGCUGAACUGAUCACGUAUGUACUGAUGGCCUCUUACAAGCCGGCUGCCAACUGGGCUAAACUGUCUGCAGGGGAGUCUGAGGAAAAUGCUAACAGGCUGAGUAGGAGCUUGCCAAAGCUCAGAGCUCGCCCUGACAUUUAGGAGACGUUCUUCGUGCAUAGCACAGUGUCCCUUCUCCCCCUGCCUUAGCAUGGUGAUGAUUCCUUCCUUGCAGGGUGGAGUGCAGUGAACCAAAGGGCACACUCACAACCUGCAUCUGGCCAAGGGACAGGAGGAUUGGCUCACGCAGAUUUUAUGGAACAGUAGCUGCUGGCCUCCUGAGAACAAGGCCCUGUGGGAGUUCAGAUGCCUGAGGAGCCCUUCAUUGGCUCCACCUGAGAGUGCCGGGCACACGCAAGGCAAUGGCAUUGCUUCCUGUUGGGCUCAAAGAGAAGGUGUUGGCAGUUGGGUGCAUCCGUGCUCCUCAAAGCCAGCAUGGAACCUGGAAAACUGCCGAUGGGUACUGGGGCGCCAAGUGGGAUUUGUCUUUCAAAAUGAAACCCCUGGAUUUAGCAGCUGUAUUAUUUCAAAUCUUACCUGUGUCUGUUUGGUGUUGUGGUGGGGGCGGUGAUCAGAGACAACUCAUGGCACCUGUUUUUCUCCUUCAACCAUAUGGGUUCCAGAGAUCAGAUUGGCUCCCUCAGAUUCCACAACAAGUGCCCUUAUCCACUGAGUCUGUACCCACUUUUAAGAUGAAAUAAGGUAUAACUGUGCUAAUGAGGGCUCUCUGGACAAUCUCUGGAUAGAUUUCUACAGGAUGGAAGAGUUGGGAAACCAGUAGCUGCUUAAUCCACAACAUGGUGCCUCAGUGGUCACAGUCUGGUGCUGAAGGCCUGAAGGAUUCCUAGAGAUCCACUGCUCAUCAGUCCACGUGGUUCUGAUGCCAGGGGACAAUGGCAGCAGGCAGCUGGGUCUGGUCACUGGAACUAGAAAAAAACCAGGGAUUCAUGUGGAACCAGCAUAUGGGCCAGUGACCCCACCACUGGGCACAGAUGCAAAGAAAAUGAAAGCACAUUGUCAAGUAGCUGGGCUGUUGUGCUUGCCGUGACACAUUCACCACAGCCAAGAAUUCAAUGCAACUGACAUGUCUAUCAGUGGGAAGAUGAAUAUGAAAACCCAGUGUUUCUAUGGAGGACAUUGUGUUAGGUGAGAUAAAUCGGGCACGGGAAGACAGCACCCAUGCUCUUAGUCUUUGGGGGAAGCCCAAACCAUUGACCACUUUGAGGGACACGGCAGGCAUCUGUGAGAAGAACAGUAAGGGGGGAGUACUGGGGCUCCAAAGCAAAUGAGAGGUGCACAGUUGUUCCAAUGGGACAUAGUGCAGGAGCAAAAUGAAAGCACGUGACAACUUACUUCAGUCUUAAAGUAACAAGGGAAAAGAGUCUAAGGUUCCCAAUGUCUCUUGAUGUGAUAAAACAAGGGGAGAUGGGAAUGAUAAUUACCCUGAUUUGAUUAUAUACUUUAUAUACGUAUUUAAUUAUGACACUGGAUAAAACAAGUAAAAAUAUUUUGCCAGCGAGAAGUCAAUAUUUUUAUAAAACAAGACUAAUAAAUAACCUUAGAGUAUGCAAAUCUCAUAGAUUAAAAUCUUAUACUUGAAGCAGCUAUAUUUCAAGACAGUUCUGAGGGGGAAAGCUAUACAAACAAUGCAGAAUCGAAGGCGUUAGUAGGCGAGGGUUAGAGAGGGUGAAGUUGUGCAAAGCAGCUUGGCUGCAGUUUUCGAAGAGACGAACCAAAUCAGAAGAACAGACUGGACACCAGUCGGUCCCGCUCAACUGAAUCAAUCUUAUUUUCGUUCCUAAAGUGGUGCGCACACGCACGUCAGCACUUGAACUGGGUCCAUAUUUCACUUAGGCCAAUCGAUAUUUAUUCAUCUCAUUGGAGUGGAGCUUAAAGCAUA
rnacentral:sRNA from 1 species